UACACAGGUAUAUAUAUGUAUAUAUUGUAAACCUUAAGGGGUGACAAACAGAGGAAUCAAAACAGAGCUUUUUCUCCUGAAUUUUCUAGCCGCCUCUUUCUCUCUCUCUCUCUCAUGCUCUCAUCCACAUUCCUAUUUAGGGCUUCCAUGUUCUCUUGAUCUCUUCUCUAUUUUUCUGGAUUAACACCCAGGUUCCAUACAAGAUAUCAAUCCACCACUCGUAUCGGAGAGGUAUCAUGUUAUAAUAUUUGGUAUCAG
rnacentral:lncRNA from 1 species